rnacentral:tRNA from 1 species
GGACUGAAAAUCCGUUGGCUUUUUAGACCGUGAGGGUUCAAGUCCCUCUACCCCCA